rnacentral:misc_RNA from 1 species
AAAACGGGCCGCCCCCGCCAGAGGACCCUUAACUCUGUUUCUUAUAAUGUUUCUUCUGAGUAAAACAAGCAAAUAAAUUAAAACUUUCAACAACGGAUCUCUUGGCUCUGGCAUCGAUGAAGAACGCAGCGAAAUGCGAUAAGUAAUGUGAAUUGCAGAAUUCAGUGAAUCAUCGAAUCUUUGAACGCACAUUGCGCCCGCCAGUAUUCUGGCGGGCAUGCCUGUUCGAGCGUCAUUACAACCCUCAGGCCCCCGGGCCUGGCGUUGGGGAUCGGCGGAGCGCCCCUCGUGGGCGCACGCCGUCCCCCAAAUACAGUGGCGGUCCCGCCGCAGCUUCCAUCGCGUAGUAGCUAACACCUCGCGACUGGAGAGCGGCGCGGCCACGCCGUAAAACACCCCAACUCUUCUGAAGUUGACCUCGAAUCAGGUAGGAAUACCCGCUGAACUUAAGCAUAUCAA